ACAGCCAUCGCCAUUUUCACCUCUACUAUCCGUUUCUCAAUCGACCCUCUCUCUAUUUCCCCUUUUUCCUCUCUCAAUCGACCAUCUCUCUUUGUUUCCCCUUUCUCAAUCCACCUCUACUCCUCUAGGAUCUUCGAUACAGAUCUGGGGUUUUCUCUCGAGCAAUUAGCAGAUUAUCUACGACCACAUCUAGUCAUAAGUAAUUAUGUUCAAGGACUGUCGAAGGACCCAUCCCUGUUUGGUUGAUCCCUUCUAGCGUUCCCAAGGUCCUGUUUGGAUACACUUCUUCAAAGGGGAGUUUCUGGAAAGGGACAUUUCAAGUCUGCUUCUUUGGUCUGACUUGGCGACAACCAAUUGGAUUGGUUUUUGCUAGGUUAGCAUUUUAGCUCAUAUUUUGUGGAGUGGGGGAUGA